rnacentral:lncRNA from 1 species
AUGGGUUAUUCAGGGUUAUUUCAGGCCACUUUGGAAAUUCACCCAGGAUGUUUCAGUUGGUGCAGAUUUCAGAUACAUCAUUGCUUCAGGAUUUUCAUAGCAUGCAAAAGGUUAUUGCCACUCAAAGAUGCAAGAUUCGUGGUUUGGAAAUAUGACAGCAACCCAGAGGAAAAAAUGCCAAUCUUUUUACAAGAGAAGCAACAAGAUAAACAACGCAUAACAAUGAGAGGAAAUAUGUUUAUAGUAGAAAAUUCAAUGAAAUUAACAAAGGUAGGUAUGGAAUUUACUUAAUUUCUUUAAUUACCAAAUAAUGAACUACAGUCUAAGUCAAAUUUGCAAAAUCUUUUAUAAGAAAACACUAAAAUUAUAAACAAAAUGUAAAGUCAAAUGUUAAUCUUGUUUCUUCUGAAUGAAUAUGUGAGACAUGUGUCCUUAAACCAUCCUAGAGGAGGGGCGCCUGGGUGGCUCAGUCUGUUUGGCAUCUGCCUUUGGACCAGGUCGUGACCACUCUGCCACUCCCUCUGCUGCUACUCCUACUUGUGCUCUCUUACUCUUGC